rnacentral:rRNA from 1 species
UACGUAGGGGGCGAGCGUUAUCCGGAUUCACUGGGCGUAAAGAGCGUGUAGGCGGCUUCCAAAGUUGGCAGUGAAAGGUCCUGGCUUAACUGGGAUAUGCCUGCCAAUACUGGGGAGCUAGAGGGCAGCAGAGGAAAGUGGAACUCGCGGUGUAGCGGUGAAAUGUGUAGAUAUCGCGAGGAACACCAGUGGCGAAGGCGGCUUUCUGGGCUGUUCCUGACGCUGAGACGCGAAAGCGUGGGGAGUGAAGCGGAUUAGAUACCCGCGUAAUCCACGCCUUAAACGGUGGAUACUAGGUAUGGGGGGUAUCGACCCUCUCCGUGCCGAAGCUAACGCCUUAAGUAUCCCGCCUGGGGACUACGGCCGCAAGGCUAAAACUCAAAGGAAUUGACGGGGGCCCGCACAAGCAGCGGAGCGUGUGGUUUAAUUCGAUGCAACACGAAGAACCUUACCAAGGCUUGACAUGCCGGUAGUAGGAACCCGAAAGGGCAACGACCCACCUUCGGGUGGGAGCCAGCACAGGUGCUACAUGGCUGUCGUCAGCUCGUGCCGUGAGGUGUUGGGUUAAGUCCCAUAACGAGCGCAACCCUUGUCCUGUGUUGAUUUCUCACAGGAGACCGCCCAGGAAUUCUGGGAGGAAGGUGAGGAUGACGUCAAGUCAGCAUGGCCCUUAUGCCUUGGGCGACACACACGCUCCAAUGGACGGUACAAAUGGUUGCGAAAGAGCGAUCUGGAGCUAAUCCCAGAAAGCCGUCCUCAGUUCGGAUUGCAGGCUGAAACCCGCCUGCAUGAAGGAGGAGUUGCUAGUAACCGCAGGUCAGCAUACUGCGGUGAAUACGUUCUCGGGCCU